GGCUUGAUGGUGUAGUGGUUACACCUCCUCUUUGAUUCCGCGGAUUUGUUAGUUUGUAAUUUAUGAGGAAGUUCCCGGUUCGAACCCGGGUCAGGCCA